rnacentral:rRNA from 1 species
AGUGAACGCUGGCGGUAGGCCUAACACAUGCAAGUCGAACGGCGGCACAGGAAGAGCUUGCUCUUACGGGUGGCGAGGGGCGGACGGGUGAGGAAUACAUCGGAAUCUACUUUUUCGGGGGGGAUAACGUAGGGAAACUGACGCUAAUACCGCAUACGACCUACGGGUGAAAGCAGGGGUUCUUCGGACCUUGCGCGAUCGAAUGAGUCGAUGUCGGAUUAGCUAGUUGGCGGGGUAAAGGCCCACCAAGGCGACGAUCCGUACCUGGUCUGAGAGGAUGAUCAGCACCACUGGAACUGAGACACGGUCCAGCCCCCUCCGGGGGGCGCCAGAGGGGAUUAUUGGCCAAUGGGCGCAGGCCUGAUCCAGCAAUACCGCGUGGUUAAGGAGGGCCUUCGGGUGUUAAACCCCUUUUGUUGGGAAGAAAAAUCGGCAGGUUAAUACCCCCCUCUUCUGACGGUACCUAAACAGUAAGCGCCGGCUAACUUCGUG